rnacentral:rRNA from 1 species
GAUGAACGCUGGCGGCGUGCUUAACACAUGCAAGUCGAACGAAGCACCUCUCCCGAAGAUUGACACAGCUUGCUGUAGAUUGAUUCAUUUGAGGUGACUGAGUGGCGGACGGGUGAGUAACGCGUGGGUAACCUGCCUCAUAGAGGGGGACAACAGUUGGAAACGACUGCUAAUACCGCAUAGUAAGAAGAAUUCGCAUGUUUUCUUCUUGAAAGAUUUAUCGCUAUGAGAUGGACCCGCGUCUGAUUAGCUAGUUGGUAAGGUAACGGCUUACCAAGGCGACGAGCAGUAGCCGGCUUGAGAGAGUGAACGGCCACAUUGGGACUGAGACACGGCCCAAACUCCUACGGGAGGCAGCAGUGGGGAAUAUUGCACAAUGGGGGAAACCCUGAUGCAGCGACGCCGCGUGAGUGAAGAAGUAUUUCGGUAUGUAAAGCUCUAUCAGCAGGGAAGAUAAUGACGGUACCUGACUAAGAAGCCCCGGCUAACUACGUG